rnacentral:tRNA from 1 species
GCCCUGAUGGCAUAAUGGUUAAGCACUCAGCUGCUAACUGAAAGGUUGGUGGUUUGAACCCACCCAGCGGUU